AACAAUAUUACUAUUUAAUCAAUAUCACGUUUGCACUGGUUCGGUUCAGCAGUCAAACGACACCGAAUCGGAUUGAACCGGAUUGAACCGUUUGCUCGGUUUAUGCUUGAAUUAUUUUAACACACGUGUUCACAAGCAUAUUCAGCAAUAUGCACUUAGUGUAUAAAUGCGUAUGGCCGAGCAGUAUAACGAAAUAGUAAUGAUUCAUUGUUGUGUCUUACAAUAAUAUACUAAAAGGUUUUAGGCGGAUUCGACUCUUUACUGUUCUAAGGAGCCGAUUCAUAGAACCGAGCUGACUCGAUUCGACCUUCACCAGGCAAGCAACGGCUCUCCUUAUUUGAAAUCCACCUGUCGCCUUUUCUUCCUGUGAAUUCAUCCUCGUUGUAGGUUCUAAUGUCACGUAAUUCGACGCCAGACCGUGAUUGUAGUGUUUGCGAGCACAACACUGAAAUGAAGGCAAAGUCACCAUGAAAAGU